GUAGUUGAAUUGUUAUAAUAUCCGUGCAUUUUUUAGUUCAGUAUUAAUUGACAAUGUUGAACUCAAACAUCUCGUCGUUCACUAUUUAUCCUUAACGCAUCUAAUAAUUCAAAAUUAUAUUUCAGAUAAUUGAAAUAUUUUUGAAGGUGUAAAGGUAAAGAUAAAAUGCCGGCAUCAUCUUCAAAAUCUGAGAAGAAGGCUAAAGUUGACAAGAAGUUCUUAAAGGAGUUAAAGAAAAAAGAAAAGAGAAGGAAAAAAGCAAAGGAUGUGGAAAGAGAGAAAGAAAAGAAGCGAGCUAAAUACAAGUCAGAAAGUUCUAGUUCAAGUGACAGCGAUGGAAGCGAUAUGGAUUUAGACAAGGAGAUUUUUCCUAUAUCCCACUACAUCAAUGACAGGGAUGAAAUGAUAAACCAGGUGUUCAAAACCAUUAAUGGUUCUAAACUAAGAUCUAUGCUCCCUCCUGCCCUUGUGGAUCUUGAUGAAGAUGAUAUAAAGACUAUCUGUCUAGAUCAGUUGAUCGGAAUGAGUAAACGAAGAUUGCAGCAUGUUUUAGCGGGCCAGGAGAUGUUGGAAAGUUCUGGAUCAGAUUCAGACUCCGAGGGUGAAAAUGGUUCAAAACCUGGAGACUCCGAUUCUGGUGAGGAUGCUUUCCAGAGUAUCAUGAAGAACGAAUUAAAAGGCCCGAUGAAGAGAUCUCACAAGAUUGCAUUCGGCAAAAAGAAUGAAGAUCAGUUGCCAGUUAAGAAGGUUAUUUUAUCCACUAGUAAAACCACAGAGCAUGGAAGGAGCAAGAAAGAGGAAAAUGAAAAAGAAGAGGAUACUGAGCAGGGAAGAACUCUGAUGGAGCUGUUAGAGUUGGAAAUGAGAGCACGGGCUAUUAAAGCAUUGUUGAUGAAAGCCGGAAAAGAGGAGGGAGAAGCGGAAACUCUGGCUAUUGAAGAAGCUCUGGACGAGGCAAAGAAAAAGGAACAAGGAAAAGAAGAAAAGAUGGAGAAACUUCCAACAUUGGUAGAAAAAAGAAAUGUUAGGAAGAGAGAUGAUGAUAGUGAUGGAGAAGAAAAGAAUAAAAUAGAGAAGAAUGAGGAAAAUGACGAGAAGAAAGAAAAGGUUGAAACUGUAAAGCCCUCUGACGAUCGAGUGUUCAACAGUGAGAACAAGGCAAUGAACAAAGCAAGAGAGAUGUUAAUGCUCUCUGAAAACAAAAAGCUGAUUCAGGAUGAGAUUAAGUCUAGGAAGGAGCAGGAAGCCCUAUUUAUGUACGAGGAGCAGAUGAGAAAAGAGCAGCUCGAUAAGGAAAGGUUGGAGAAGGAAAUAUUGACCGAGGAGGUUACUAAAAGAAGAAAGGCUCUCAUCGAAAAGGAACAGGAAGAACGAAGAAAAAUUCUUGAGAAAGAGCGUGAAAAAAUGAUUGAAGAUCACAAAAGGAAAGAGGAAAUGAAGAAGAAUAGAGAUAAAGAAAAACUGUUUUCGAAAAUUAGGCAAAUGAAAGAAGCAGAGGAGAAGGAGAAGGAAGAGCUCGAAAACCACCAUAAAACCAAAAUGUCUAGAAAACGCAUAGAGCGUGAGGAUGAAGGGGAAGUUGAAGAUAAGGAUGAAGAAGGCAAGUUGCGAAGAUACAGAAAAAAAGAUGGCGAAACCGCUGGAAUAAGUGAAAAUGAUGAAAUUGAGGAGAGGAAAGAAGAUCAAUCAACAGUAAGAAAACCAUAUCAAAGAGAGAAUGUUUCAGACAAAAAAAGGAAAGACGACGAGAUCAAACUAGGAAAAAUACGACCAAAAAAGAAGGUUGAGGGUGGUAGUGAUGUCGAAGACGGUGAAGUUGAGGAGGUAGAUAGUGAUGUCGAAGAUGAAAUUGACCGUGAGGAUGAUCAUAAGGCUCUUCUUCAAAAGAUGAAGAACUUGAGAAAUAAGAUUAGUAACAAAAUGGUCUCUGAUGAUAGCCCAGCUCUUGAAGCUGCCGCAGAAGUGUCCGGUCGAGGAAGGGCCCGGGCUAGAGGCCGUGGAGGUAAAGGUAGAGGCAGAGGAGAUGGAGAGGAUAAUUCCUGGUCUCUUAAAAAAUACGAUUUUGAGGCUCCUGACAUGGAAGAACAGAUUAAAGAUCAUAAGCCUAACUUUGUUAAAGCACCACGAAGAGUAUUUGAGAAACAUGAUGGAUACUAUUCACACUCGGAUGAGGAAACUGAUCAGAUUCAGAAUGAGGAAAAACAAGAGAUCAUCUCAGAUGGGAAAAGUCAAGAAAUGGAGGAGGAGAAGGGAGAACCAAGUAAAAAAAGGGACAAUUUUAAAAAGGUGACAAGGGAAGAAUGGAACAAGAUGACUCGAAUUGAGAAAAAAAAAUAUCUGAGUGAAAGGAAGAAGAGGAAGAUAAAGGAAACUGUCUAUAUUAAGGAUGACAGUGAUAAUGAACAGCUGAUAUCGAGUGGCAGCGAGGGUGAAAUUGAGUUGGAGCUUUCAUCCUCGGAGGACGAAAAGGAUAAAGAAGAAAGGCUGGCCAAGGUAGCCUUAAAGAGCUAUGCUAAGAGUUUUACGGCUACUGAGCACCCGGAGGACUAUAAGUUGGUGAUGCGGAAAGAUGUUUGGGAUAAAGAGUUAGCCCAGGAUGCUGAUGAAGGUCCCGAGACAUUGGAAGAUAUUGAGCUGAGAGAUAAACGAGAAAAAGUUGAGUCGAAGGAAAAAACUAAACAGGAAAAGAUCAGAGCUGAAAGAUUACGGAGAAUGCAAGCAUUUCAAGCAUCAUCUGUCCUGCGAAGUCAACCAGAUGAAGAAGAUGCAACAGAAGAAGAGGAAGCCGAGAAGGCUCAGUCAGAAGAUGAAAACAAUCCUUUUUAUACAUCAUACAAAGAGGCAAUUGAAGGAGAAGAUAAGGAUAAGGUUGAGGAUCCGCUAAAGGAGGACAGAUUGAAAAGGCAGAAAGAAAUAGAAGAGGAUGAAGCUGCACUGAAAGCAAUGGAAGAAAAACGGGGGGAUGAGAGUAAACAAGCCGUCCAGAUUAAAGCUCGCGAGGAGGCUAUGAAAAGGAAGAUAGCCGAGGUGGCUUUGAUAAAGAGUAGAAAGAGAGGAGAUCCAAAUAACCCAUGUAAAGAGGAGGUAGAUGCGCAACAGGAGUUGGAGCAGCAAACCUGGGAAGACAGAUGGAAGAAUGACGCUAAAAUGAAGGAGGUAUUUACUUCGAGCAAGCUGGUGAGUAAGGCGAAGUUAAAGAUGAAAGUUACCGUGGCAGCCGGAGAAGAAAAGAAAGAAAAAGAGACAAUUCAAGAAUCCACAUCAUCCAAACCUGUAGAUAUUCCAUCUGUGGAGGCGUUGCCAGGACGUAUCGGAAGUGUAGAUGAAUAUGCCAAUAUUCUGGGUAAGAGUGUGAAAGAGCUCACUGAGGAAAAGUUUCAACCUCCAGAAGUCAGCGAUUCUGAGGGUGAAGAAAGUCCAACUGAAGAUGAUGGAGAGGAUCUCUGGGGAAAGAUCAUGGGAGGAUCUGAAAACCAUUAGAUUUCUCGUAUCUAACACUUAUCAUUAAAACUAAGAUUUUUAUUACUAGAGCUCUCGUGUUCAUGAAUUGGCCUAUUCGUAAUGAUUCAUUUUUAAAAUUCUUGGUUUUUCUACCAUUAUCCUUGAUGUGCAAAUACUGAUGACUGCAAGGCAAUGUUGGUUUUAUUUCAAAAUUUAAUGAUGUUCUGUUAUGAAUAUAAAUUGGAUUAUCAUUUUAA
rnacentral:misc_RNA from 1 species